rfam:Culex pipiens quinquefasciatus supercont3.8 genomic scaffold, whole genome shotgun sequence.
GUGACCGUGAUGUAGGGGUAAGCGUGGUUGCCUGUCACCCAGUUGACUUGGGUUCGAUCCCAGACGGUCCCG